UGGUGGGGGAGAUUACUGGGACAGUGAUAAUCACUGCAGCCUCUGAAAUACUUUAGCCCCCAUGCUCUCUUCCCAAGGACCCCUGCUGUUCCUGGGCCUGGGAUAGAACCCCGGUCACUGCAGAGACAAUGCCAGAUCCUUAACUGGCUGCGCCGCGCCUCACCAGCAACCCCAAAAUGUGGUCUUUAGACCAACAGCAUGGACAUUACCCAGGAGCUUGCUGGAUAUGCAGACUCCCAGGCCUACCACAUUCCACCUAAUUCAGCACUUUAAACAAGAUCCUCGGGUGAUUCAGGAUCACAUUCAAAUUUGAGAAGAGGCUUCGACUGAAAGGAGCUACUCGAGGUCACUUGGUGGUUAGGGGCUGGACUGAGGUUGGAACCUGCCAAAUGUGCUGAUGGACAUCUCUCUGGAAUGACCUAUUAGACUUCUUCCUCCAUGGUAUUUAUUUGCUUUUUUGACCCUGGACUCAUAUAUACACUGUUUACACUAUUUAGCAUCUUGCCUUUUUCUUUCUUUCUUUCUUUCUUUUUUUUUUUUCUUGGUUUUUUUGGUUGCUCCUUGGCGUAUGAAGUUCACAGGCGAGGGAUCAGAUCCCAGCCAUUGUUGCGACCAUCGCCUGAUCCUUUAACCCACUCUGCUGGGCCUGGAAUUGAACCUGCGUUCUGGAGCUGCAGAAAUACCAUCAAUCCCAUUGUGCCACCGUGGGAACUCCAGCAUCUUUCCUUUCUACUAAGCGGUAGAUCUUGGAGCUCUCUGUACAUCCGCAGUUUCAGACGUACUGUUUCCUUUUCACAGGUGCAUAGGGUUUCAUCGUCUGGAUGAGUUUUCGAACCAGGCCCCCGUUGGCAUUUAGGGUUUUGAUUGUUUGCACUAUAUACAAACAGUAUCUGCACACAUGGAGUUCCUGGUGUGGCUCAGCGGAAACAAAUCUGUUAGCAUCCGUGAGGAUGCAGGUGCUAUCCCUGGCCUUUUUCAGUGGGUUAAAGAC